rnacentral:rRNA from 1 species
UACGGGAGGCAGCAGUGGGGAAUAUUGCACAAUGGGCGCAAGCCUGAUGCAGCCAUGCCGCGUGUAUGAAAAAGGCCUUCGGGUUGUAAAGUACUUUCAGUCGUGAGGAAAGGUGUUAAGGUUAAUAACCUUAGCAAUUGACGUUAGCGACAGAAGAAGCACCGGCUAACUCCGUGCCAGCAGCCGCGGUAAUACGGAGGGUGCGAGCGUUAAUCGGAAUUACUGGGCGUAAAGGGCACGCAGGCGGUUAAUUAAGUUGGAUGUGAAAUCCCCGGGCUUAACCUGGGAAUGGCAUUCAAGACUGGUUAGCUAGAGUCUUGUAGAGGGGGUAGAAUUCCAUGUGUAGCGGUGAAAUGCGUAGAGAUGUGGAGGAAUACCGGUGGCGAAGGCGGCCCCUGGACAAAGACUGACGCUCAUGUGCGAAAGCGUGGGGAGCAAACAGGGAUUAGAUACC